rnacentral:tRNA from 1 species
UGAGAUGUAGCCAAGUGGUAAGGCAUCGGACUCUGAAUCCGACAUACUUGGGUUCGAAUCCCAACAUCUCAGCCA